UUACAGAUCCUUAUGGAUCCCCCCAGCUUUCCCCUACAUCUUCUUCCAUCCCUUACAAAUCCUUAUGGAUCCCCCCAGGUUUCCCCUACAUCUUCUUCCAUCCCUUACAAAUCCUUAUGGAUCCCCCCAGGUUUCCCCUAAAUCUUCUUCCAUCCCUUACAGAUCCUUAUGGAUUCCCCCAGCUUUCCCCUACAUCUUCAUCCAUCCCUUACAAAUCCUUAUGGAUCCCCCCAGCUUUCCCCUACAUCUUCUUCCAUCCCUUACAAAUCCUUAUGGAUCCCCCCAGGUUUCCCCUACAUCUUCUUCCAUCCCUUACAAAUCCUUAUGGAUCCCCCCAGGUUUCC